ACCUGCGCUCGGCCAGCUCGCGGUUGUUUGGAUAUGGCUCCGACGCAAACACACGGCGGCGAAUCCAAUCUCAACCAUCGCCGCGCGGAUAUCUCGCCUCCGGACGCGUAUAAAUAUAUCGUCGAUCGCCGCAUAACUCAAUCACGUCCAUGGUGCAAGCACGCUGCAAGUCACGCCAGACACCGGAAACGAGGGAGAACGGAGGGAGGAGUACUGCCGUUGUGGGAUUGCUCGUCUACCAGCAUGGAAGCAUCGGUAAUCGACCAGGGGUGUGUUCUCUGGGACACACGGACGGGGGUCGCACUGUCACCGGGCCAACACGCUGGCCGGAGCCUAACCAAUUUCUCGUCGGACUGCACGGGGCGCCGCUGAACUACCAGUCGCCAUGGCCGACCUCGUCGCAAUGCCAUCACCGGUCAAGAACAGGUACCGCAGGAUGAGGCGCAUGGAGGAUGCUGCGACGAGUUCGUGAGAGGUCUAGGCCGUCGUCUCCCAGUCAACUUUGGGUUGCUGGACCGUUGUCUCCUUAUAAUGUAAUUAUUUAUUUUAUACAGAACUCCUAUUAUGUAGUAAAGUUGUGACAUUCGAUCCUGUGCCAUGAUU